CAGUAGCCGCGGUAAUACGAAGGGUGCAAGCGUUAAUCGGAAUUACUGGGCGUAAAGCGUGCGUAGGCGGUUUGUUAAGUCUGCUGUGAAAUCCCCGGGCUCAACCUGGGAAUGGCAGUGGAUACUGGCAAGCUAGAGUGUGUCAGAGGAUGGUGGAAUUCCCGGUGUAGCGGUGAAAUGCGUAGAGAUCGGGAGGAACAUCAGUGGCGAAGGCGGCCAUCUGGGACAACACUGACGCUGAGGCACGAAAGCGUGGGGAGCAAACAGGAUUAGAUACCCGGGUAGUCCCUGUCUCUUAUAA
rnacentral:rRNA from 1 species